UCCUUACAUGUGUCAAAUAUAUAUUUUCUCAUCUAAAUGUCCACUGAGCUGUGAGCCAGGGGGCGGUAGUGCGCCUUAACAUUGGUUGCCAACCAAGAAGAAGAAGAAGUAGCUGCGAGCCAGGAGGGAGGGGGUGAGUGAGUGAGUGAUUCGUUCGCUCUAUGAUUCAGCACAGGAGGGAGGGGGUGAGCGAGUCAUGAGUGAUUCGCUAGCUCUAUGAUUCAGCACAGGAGGGAGGGGGUUAUCGAGUCAUGAGUGAUUCGCUAGCUCUGUGAUUCAGCACAGGAGGGAGGGGGUUAGCGAGUCAUGAGUGAUUCGCUAGCUCUAUGAUUCAGCACAGGAGGGAGGGGGUUAGCGAGUCAUGAGUGAUUCGCUAGCUCUAUGAUUCAGCACAGGAGGGAGGGGGUUAGUGAGUCAUGAGUGAUUUGUUUCCCCUACGAUUCAGCGCAGGAAAGGAGGGGUUAAUCACCCACCUGGGAUUCAUCACUUUGUUUGCUGGCCUCUUCAUAAGGCAGGAGCGCUGAGCUACUCGUCGCUGGAAUAUUGAGUAACUCAUAUUUCCCGGACCUAUCAUGAAUCUUGGAGCCCCUGAGCGUGAGUGUUGGCAGUUUGGCGUGGAGUUUGUGUGUGAGGAAGGAAUUCCCCGUGAGGAGCGAGAGGAGCUGAGUGAGUGUGGCGAUCCCGUUUCCCCUAACCCCGUGGACCCCUGGAAACCCCCACCUCCCCCCCACCUGUAUAUAGAGCAACCGGUGUUGCUUAAUAAAGAACUGUGUAACUGUAUUCCUCAGUCUGCGCCUGAGUCCGUCCCGCCUGCCCUGCACAACAGUUUCCUUCCCCAUUCACGGCGAUGAUCCCAAACACACUGCUAAUGCAGUAAAAGCAUACACAGAAAAAUGCAUAACAGAACACUAUCAGCCUCACAAG
ensembl:lncRNA